rnacentral:rRNA from 1 species
UGGCGGUUUUNNGBCUAACUAGAGAGACAUGUAUAUUUAUACGAAGUUACACGAUCAUCUUNCUUNUAAUUACUUUCCACWCCGUCGUNNNAUAGAACUAUUCGGGAGAAUAGUUCUUAUACUAUAAAGUAAUAAGUCAGAUCAAGGCGUAGGUUAUUUAUAAGGUUAUAUGUGUUUCUAUAUUA